GUAAGCACCCAUCUCUCUCUCCUAAUGUCCUGAGCAUCCACGAAUCGAAAUCCAUGGAGUCUGCGUAUGACAUUGAGGAUCUCGUCAUGGCCAAAACCAAAAUCUUGAGCAAAUUUUGCAGAAUUUGAAAUCUCAUCGUUGUCUUUGAGAUAUGCCAAUAUAGCGUCUUCAGCUUCGUCCGCCAUACUCUCACUCUCUCUAGGGUUCUGCUAGGGAGAAACAAAUGAACGGCGCUAUCUGUUAGGGAGAAACAAAUUAACGGCGAUUUUACUUUAACGACUUCCAG
rnacentral:misc_RNA from 1 species